rnacentral:rRNA from 1 species
AUACGUAGGGGGCGAGCGUUGUCCGGAAUGAUUGGGCGUAAAGGGCGCGUAGGCGGCCCGGUAAGUCUGGAGUGAAAGUCCUGUUUUUAAGAUGGGAAUUGCUUUGGAUACUGUCGGGCUUGAGUGCAGGAGAGGUAAGUGGAAUUCCCAGUGUAGCGGUGAAAUGCGUAGAGAUUGGGAGGAACACCAGCGGCGAAGGCGCCUUAAUGGACUGUAACUGACGCUGAGGCGCGGAAGUGUGGGGAACGAACAGGAUUAGAUACCCUGGUAGUCCACGCUGUAAACGAUUAAUGCUAAGUGUAGGGGGUAUCGACCCCUUCUGGGCCGGAGUCAACACAAUAAGCAUGCCGCCCGGGGAGUACGGCCGCAAGGUUGAAACUCAAAUGAAGUGACGGGG